UUUUGUUUGUACAAAUGUUGUAAUUGAUAUAUAAUAUAGAACUCAAAACUAUGACUGAGAUAUAGAUUCUGAGGAAAAAAACGAAUCAAAUCAUUACAAAAUAUGAUAAUUAUUAUACGAUUUGUGCAUCCUAAAUGUUCAAGAAUUAAAAAUGUGUAAAAAAUCCCGUGACGUAAAUGCAUUGUAGAGAUAAAUGUUUAAAACAAAGUGAAAAAUAAAUUAUGUAUAAAACAUAAAAUAUAAACAAAAAUGUUCAUUAAAACUGAAAGGCGAAAGUGUAAAGGAAGAAAUUAUUUUUUUAACAUUCAACCAUAGACAUAAAUAAAUAUAGACUG